GCCUAGUUGGCUCAGUAGGUAGAGCGUGUGACUCUUGCUCUCAGGGUCUUGAGUUCAAGCCCCACAUUGGGCA